GUUGACAGAUAAAUGUCUCAAUAACACAAUUGAGAGCCCAGUAACAACAUCAGAGCGUCUUCCUGCAGACAUAAAGAGCAACAUCCUGAAGGCCCAGGCAGAGGCAGUGCACAAGAUCACAAGAGAGGAUAGCAUGUCGGACAACAAGAAAGCCAGUAUUCACGAUGCCACUGCCAGGGGCAUCCUGAUCUCAGGGAAAGCACAGAGCAGCCUCCUGGCAACCAACCCACUCUUUCAAGAAUCAAGAGAAGUGCUGAAAGAAAUUCCUGCCUCAAAUGCCUUCCUUCCGUAAGCGCUCUGGGAAGGAAUGUUACUGGGAUAAGGAAACAGCUCAGCAAUUAUCCUGGGAAAGAUGACAAACAGCUGUUAGCUAGCAGGAAGAACACUUCUUUACCAAUGCGGGGAGGAGGAGAAAAGCUAGGCUGGCUUCAUCUGCUGACUUUUCUUUAUCACACACUCACUAUGGUCUUCAGAGUGCAUGAAA
rnacentral:lncRNA from 1 species